AUUGAACGCUGGCGGCAGGCCUAACACAUGCAAGUCGAGCGGAGCGGCGGACGGGUGCGUGAUGCCUAGGAAUAUGCCUGGUAGUGGUGGAUAACGUCCGGCAACGGGCGCUAAUUCCGCAUACUCUCCGCUUAGCCUAGGGCGGAUUAGCUCGUUGGUGGGGUAAAGGCCUACAAAGGCGACGAUCCGUACCUGGUCUGAGAGGAUGAGUAGCCACACUGGACGUGAGACACGGUCCAGACUCCUACGGGAGGCAGCAUGGGGAAAUAUGGGACAAUGGGCGAAAGCCUGAUGCAGCCAGGCCGCGGGUGUGAAGAAGGCCUUCGGUUUGUAAAGCACUUUAAGUGGGGAGGCGUUACCAGCAGAAGAAGCACCGGCUAACUUCGUGCCAGCCGCCGCGGUAAUUC
rnacentral:rRNA from 1 species